GAAAUGCGAUAAGUAAUGUGAAUUGCAGAAUUCAGUGAAUCAUCGAAUCUUUGAACGCACCUUGCGCUCCUUGGUAUUCCUUGGAGCAUGCCUGUUUGAGUAUCAUGAAAUCUUCAAAGUAAAUCUUUUGUUAACUCAAUUGGUUUCUACUUUGGUAUUGGAGGUCUUUGCAGCUUCACACCUGCUCCUCUUUGUUCAUUAGCUGGAUCUCAGUGUUAUGCUUGGUUCCACUCGGCGUGAUAAGUUAUCUAUCGCUGAGGACACUGUAAAAGGUGGCCAAGGUAAAUGCAGAUGAACCGCUUCUAAUAGUCCAUUGACUUGGACAAUACUUUUAUGAUCUGAUCUCAAAUCAGGUAGGACUACCCGCUGUACUUAAGC
rnacentral:misc_RNA from 1 species